rnacentral:lncRNA from 1 species
AAAAAAAAAGCUAGCACAAACGAACGUCAACGGACGAUUGGGAAAAACUCAUCGUUUAUCGAAACCAACGGAGAGGUGACCAGACAUCAAUGAAUGACUGGGAAAGAAAGGGAUACAACCAUACGUCAACAGACGAAUGGGAAAAACUCAACGUUUACCAAAACCAACGGAGAGGUGACUCUGUGGGGAAAAGAAACUAUACGUCAACGGACGAAUAGGAAAAACUCAGCGUUUAUC